CGGCCCAGACUCCUACGGGAGGCAGCAGUAGGGAAUCUUCCGCAAUGGACGAAAGUCUGACGGAGCAACGCCGCGUGAGUGAUGAAGGUUUUCGGAUCGUAAAGCUCUGUUGUUAGGGAAGAACAAGUGCAAGAGUAACUGCUUGCACCUUGACGGUACCUAACCAGAAAGCCACGGCUAACUACGUGCCAGCAGCCGCGGUAA
rnacentral:rRNA from 1 species